AAAUAUUUAUUGGUUGUUACAUAUAUGUUUUAAAUCAUUAAAAUUAAAUUUUAAGCUUAUAUGUUUUUUCUUUCGAUUCAUAGGAAAUACCGUAUGAUUUUGCAACCUUAUUGUGACAGAAUUGAUGGAGUGAUAUAAGAAGGUUUCUUUGUUAAUUGAUUAUUCUCUUCCGCUUACAGGGGAUGGCGCUAAGAAUAAGUGCUUUGAUGAACUAAUAGGUGUUUGGAUUUUGUGUUUACUUUGCUCUGCAUAGGGCUCCUUCAGUUUUUUGUAUUCUUUUACUUCGCUCAGUAAUUCUUCUAUUUUCAAGAUAAGAAUACAGGCUGCAUCUGCAUUGGCUACCCUACCAACAAUAGUGGGUGAAUCGAUAUGGAUCCCAUGAACAACAGUCCUUCAUUUUUAAAGCUUAUUGAGGAAGAUGACCUGAUAUUUUUGCAAAUACCUAAUGACUUUGCUUCAAUGAUUUAUGAUUUGGGGAGACCAACCACCUUACAAAGAUUCAGUUAAGAUUGUUGAUGGCAACAAGUUAUGGUUUGUAAGACUAAAAAAAACUGAUGUUGGCCCUGUUCUUGCUGAUGGCUUCACCAAAGUUGUUCGGGAUAGUUGUAUAAGAAAAAAUAACUAUCUUAUGUUUCAGUCAUUUGGACAAUCAUCAUUCUUUCUAAUGGUGUUUAAAUCAUUUGUUCAUCAAUACUGCUUUAUAUCCAAAAUCACACCUGACGAAGACGUUAUUGUCAUGGCUGAUGAAUUUUGGAGGCAAUUUUAUGGGAAAAUUUUCAAAGGUGGUCAAUCAACUCUUUAUUUAGGAGAUAGAUUUUGGAACGUUAAGAUGGACGGAUUAACUGACAACUGUGUUUUUACUCAUAGAUGUUCUGAGAUGGUAAACGAUCUUGCCUUAGACAGGCGAUCUAUCUUUGUCUUUUCAAUGGUUGGAAAUAAAAUUUUCGAGCUUUCAGUCUUUAAUCAUCAAACCAGUACUCAAAUUCACCCGCGAACUUCGCGGGUCUGAAAAUUUAAUCUGCAUUUGAAAAUGCCUCAAUCUUAAGCUUCAAGA